rnacentral:lncRNA from 1 species
UGGGGGGUCAGCAGGGGGCGGAGGGCCACCCUCAGCUUCUCUUUAUAAGCUCACCCUGCCUUUGGGUGAGGAUGGAUCCGAGGGGGGCGAGGCUGGAGGGGGUCGGCAGGCGAGGAGGCGAGGAGAACCCAAUCCCUGGCGCCCGCUGGCUGCCUUUGGCACAGGGCCAGGAGGGGGCCAGGGGGUCCUCGUGUCUCCCGGAAGGCACCGAGGCCAGGAGAAGGCAGGGGUCCUCGGGAGACGCGAGCCAAGGGGCAGCGGGAGGACAAAGGCCGCUCCCGAGCCGGCCGCUCCCACCAUCCUAGAGCUGGACCCCAGCACCCCGUCCUCCAGCGUCCGCCUGCCUCCCAGGUCUGCGCGUCCCGGCUACCUCCGCCUAAUGAAAGUGUUACUCCACAAAGCCGCAAGGCCGGCGCGUGCUCUUCCCUCGUUUCCCCUCUGAGCACGAGGCCUAGGGCUUGUGGACGGGAGCCUCGGGGCAGCCUCCUCUGCAGCAGGACCCGGCUUUCCAGCUUCGGAAACCCGAGACGAGGAAAGCGGAAGAAGACAGGAGAGCCAGCCAGAAGACGGGGAGGGGCUGGCCCCGCGCUCUGCUCGGGCUCUGAAGCAGCACUCGCCCCGAGAAAGAUCCCUGAACACCCACGGCUUGAUUCCGCGUCCAAUGUCACAACUCGGCAGACAGCCCCUGCGGCUGGCCGUGCCCGGCGUGGCGGGGGGGCGCGGGGGCAGAAGAGGCCCUCGGGGCUUGCCCU